AGACUGCUUUGAACAUCCACCUCUUGAACGCACAUUGCGGCCGUAGGCUUGCCUACGGCCACGUCUGGCCGAGGGUCGGCU
rnacentral:rRNA from 1 species